rnacentral:lncRNA from 1 species
CCCAACCCAAAAGUUGGAGUCAGCCCUGAUGUGCCUGUGCCUGUUCCAGUGCCUGUGCCAGUGCCUGUCCCAGUUCCUGUGCCUGUGGUUGGAGUAGUGGUGGUUCCUGUCCCUGUAGUACUGUAAAUACAAGAGAAAAAAUUAAUCACAGAGGCAAAUUAUCAUACUCCUUCUCAUCACAAUACUUGAUCAGCUUGAUCAAGAUUCAGACAUGGAAUCAAAAUGUGAGAUUGUGGGGAACAGAUGUCAAGCUGAGAAUGAGGAAUCAGAGAAAAAUUGACAAGAAAGAGGACAAACAACUAAUGAAAUAUCAACAUCAUGACAGCUCACAGCUGUAAAGAUGCAUCCCCUUAACCUAUAAAAAUAUCAAUGCAGAAUUUUAAUAUUUAAGAAUGUUAGAUCUACCCCUUUUUAUCAAUUUCUUAGCUAUUACGCUGUUGAUUAAAAUAAAUAAAUAAAACACAUGAAAUUGAUGCAAGAAAAACCCCAUUUCAAUAACAUGUGGGGGGUUCAAAUUCAAUGAUUUUGACACAAAAAUGAAGGAAUUUGGCAGUUCUGCCAACCAAGACUCAUCUCAUCAAACCAGAACAAAUCAUUGGUGUUUAUGGUAAGAAACUAACAGACGAGAAACAGAUUCUUGGUGAAUUCAUCAGUUUGUGGAUUACCCAUCACCAGAAAAUUAGACAAUUUACAAGAUUACAAAGUUUUCUUCUUCUUUCAAAGAGAAUCUAAGCUUUUAAUGAAGAAAAAAAGGGGAUACCUUGUAGGAUAAACACACCCAGACGCUACACCUGCAAAUUACAAGAAGAUAGAAAAAAAAGGGUAGAUUUCAUUAGUUACCACAAGUGGAUGAUUGACGGAUGCUUCAUCAAAGAGAACAGAGAACUUACUUGAAGGAGGAUUGGCACUGGUAGUAGCAGUUCCUGAAAAAUCACAGCUCCCAACAGCUUGACCUUUCUUCUGGUAAUAACUGUUAACAGCAUAGCUGCAAUGAUC